rfam:Erinaceus europaeus unplaced genomic scaffold scaffold00743, whole genome shotgun sequence
GAGCAGACUCGAUCCCUAACUGCACGGUAUUGCAGGAGUGAAGGGAACCAAGUUUGCUAAGGUCAUUGUGGUGGAUAGGAAUUCAGCCUCAGCAGCUGCUGAGGUGUCCGUUCUGUCCUGCUGUGUUU